UACAUGGGGUGCAAACGUUGCUCGGAAUUAUUGGGCGUAAAGCGCGCGUAGGCGGUUACUCAAGUCGGAUGUGAAAGCCCUCGGCUUAACUGAGGAAGUGCACCCGAAACUGAGUAGCUAGAGUACUAAAGAGGGUCGCGGAAUUCCCGGUGUAGAGGUGAAAUUCGUAGAUAUCGGGAGGAACCCGGGUGGCGAAGGGGGUUCUCUGGGCCUUACCUGACACUGAGGAGCGAAAGCGUGGGAGCGAACAGG
rnacentral:rRNA from 1 species